rnacentral:tRNA from 1 species
GAGGGUAUAGCUCAGUGUUAGAGUGCAUGCUUAGCACACAUGAGAUCAUGGGCUCAAUUCCCAGUACUUCCA